GCAGUCAGGCGGCGAGUGAUAAAAUCCGUCGUCAAGAGGGAAACAACCCAGACUACCAGCUAAGGUCCCUAAAUCUUACUUAAGUGGAAAACGAUGUGAAGUUACUUAAACAACCAGGAGGUUGGCUUAGAAGCAGCCAUCCUUUAAAGAAAGCGUAAUAGCUCACUGGUCUAGUGAUUUUGCGCGGAAAAUAUAACGGGGCUAAAGUAAGUACCGAAGCUGUAGACUUGCGCACAACUUAGAUUAUUUAAGUUUAGAAUAUGAGAAACUAAGUUAUAUGUUUAGUUAUAUUUUUACUGAUUUUUAUAGAGUAAAGAUAGAAAUAAAACUUAGUAAAAUCAGUAAAAAUAUUCUUAGACUAAAGUUAAGUAGUUUAAGUUGUGUGCAAGUGGUAGGAGAGCGUUCUAUUUGCGUCGAAGGUAUACCGGUAAGGAGUGCUGGAGCGAAUAGAAGUGAGCAUGCAGGCAUGAGUAGCGAUAAUUAAUGUGAGAAUCAUUAACGCCGUAAACCCAAGGUUUCCUACGCGAUGCUCGUCAUCGUAGGGUUAGUCGGGUCCUAAGUCGAGUCCGAAAGGGGUAGACGAUGGCAAAUUGGUUAAUAUUCCAAUACCAACAUUAGUGUGCGAUGGAAGGACGCUUAGGGCUAAGGGGGCUAGCGGAUGGAAGUGCUAGUCUAAGGUCGUAGGAGGUUAUACAGGCAAAUCCGUAUAACAAUACUCCGAGAACUGAAAGGCUUUUUGAAGUCUUCGGAUGGAUAGAAGAACCCCUGAUGCCAUCGAGCCAAGAAAAGUUUCUAAGUUUAGCUAAUGUUGCCCGUACCGUAAACCGACACAGGUGGGUGGGAUGAGUAUUCUAAGGCGCGUGGAAGAACUCUCUUUAAGGAACUCUGCAAAAUAGCACCGUAUCUUCGGUAUAAGGUGUGGUUCGCUUCGUAUUAGGAUUUACUCCGAAAGCGAAGAAACUUACAACAAAGAGUCCCUCCCGACUGUUUACCAAAAACACAGCACUCUGCUAACUCGUAAGAGGAUGUAUAGGGUGUGACGCCUGCCCGGUGCUCGAAGGUUAAUUGAUGGGGUUAGCAUUAGCGAAGCUCUUGAUCGAAGCCCGAGUAAACGGCGGCCGUAACUAUAACGGUCCUAAGGUAGCGAAAUUCCUUGUCGGUUAAAUACCGACCUGCAUGAAUGGCGUAACGAGAUGGGAGCUGUCUCAAAGAGGGAUCCAGUGAAAUUGUAGUGGAGGUGAAAAUUCCUCCUACCCGCGGCAAGACGGAAAGACCCCGUGGACCUUUACUACAGCUUGACACUGCUAUUUGGAUAAGAAUGUGCAGGAUAGGUGGGAGGCUUUGAGUAUAUGACGCCAGUUGUAUAUGAGCCAUUGUUGAGAUACCACUCUUUCUUAUUUGGGUAGCUAACCAGCUUGAGUUAUCCUCAAGUGGGACAAUGUCUGGUGGGUAGUUUGACUGGGGCGGUCGCCUCCCAAAUAAUAACGGAGGCUUACAAAGGUUGGCUCAGAACGGUUGGAAAUCGUUCGUAGAGUAUAAAGGUAUAAGCCAGCUUAACUGCAAGACAUACAAGUCAAGCAGAGACGAAAGUCGGUCUUAGUGAUCCGGUGGUUCUGUGUGGAAGGGCCAUCGCUCAAAGGAUAAAAGGUACCCCGGGGAUAACAGGCUGAUCUCCCCCAAGAGCUCACAUCGACGGGGAGGUUUGGCACCUCGAUGUCGGCUCAUCGCAUCCUGGGGCUGGAGCAGGUCCCAAGGGUAUGGCUGUUCGCCAUUUAAAGCGGUACGCGAGCUGGGUUCAGAACGUCGUGAGACAGUUCGGUCCCUAUCUGCCGUGGGCGUAAGAAGAUUGAAGAGAUUUGACCCUAGUACGAGAGGACCGGGUUGAACAAACCACUGGUGUAGCUGUUGUUCUGCCAAGAGCAUCGCAGCGUAGCUAAGUUUGGAAAGGAUAAACGCUGAAAGCAUCUAAGCGUGAAGCCAACUCUAAGAUGAAUCUUCUCUAAGCUCUCUAGAAGACUACUAGUUUGAUAGGCUGGGUGUGUAAUGGAUGAAAGUCCUUUAGCUGACCAGUACUAAUAGAGCGUUUGGCUUAUCUUUAAUAAAGCAU
rnacentral:rRNA from 1 species